CAUCCUUGAAAUACCACCCUUGAAUGUUUGAUGUUCUAACGCAGGCCCGUUAUCCGGGUCGCGGACAGUGUCUGGUGGGUAGUUUGACUGGGGCGGUCUCCUCCCAAAGCGUAACGGAGGAGCACGAAGGUUAGCUAAUCACGGUCGGACAUCGUGAGGUUAGUGCAAUGGCAUAAGCUAGCUUGACUGCGAGAGUGACAGCUCGAGCAGGUACGAAAGUAGGUCAUAGUGAUCCGGUGGUUCUGAAUGGAAGGGCCAUCGCUCAACGGAUAAAAGGUACUCCGGGGAUAACAGGCUGAUACCGCCCAAGAGUUCAUAUCGACGGCGGUGUUUGGCACCUCGAUGUCGGCUCAUCACAUCCUGGGGCUGAAGUAGGUCCCAAGGGUACGGCUGUUCGCCGUUUAAAGUGGUACGCGAGCUGGGUUUAGAACGUCGUGAGACAGUUCGGUCCCUAUCUGCCGUGGGCGUUGGAAGAUUGAAAGGGGCUGCUCCUAGUACGAGAGGACCGGAGUGGACGCACCACUGGUGUUCGGGUUGUCAUGCCAAUGGCACUGCCCGGUAGCUAAGUGCGGAAGAGAUAACCGCUGAAAGCAUCUAAGCGGGAAACUUGCCUUGAGAUGAGUCUUCCCUUGUCCCUUGAGGAUACUGAAGGAACGUUCAAGACGAGGACGUGGAUAGGCUGGGUGUGUAAGCGUAGCGAUACGUUGAGCUAACCAGUACUAAUGAACCGUGAGGCUUAACCUG
rnacentral:rRNA from 2 species